rnacentral:rRNA from 1 species
CCUACGGGCGGCUGCAGUGGGGGAUAUUGCACAAUGGGGGAAACCCUGAUGCAGCGACGCCGCGUGAGGGAAGACGGUUUUCGGAUUGUAAACCUCUGUCUUCAGGGACGAAAUCAAUGACGGUACCUGAGGAGGAAGCCACGGCUAACUACGUGCCAGCAGCCGCGGUAAUACGUAGGUGGCAAGCGUUGUCCGGAAUUACUGGGUGUAAAGGGAGCGUAGGCGGGAAUGCAAGUUGAAUGUUUAAACUAUCGGCUCAACUGAUAAUCGCGUUCAAAACUGCAUUUCUUGAGUGGAGUAGAGGCAGGCGGAAUUCCUAGUGUAGCGGUGAAAUGCGUAGAUAUUAGGAGGAACACCAGUGGCGAAGGCGGCCUGCUGGGCUCUAACUGACGCUGAGGCUCGAAAGCGUGGGUAGCAAACAGGAUUAGAUACCCCAGUAGUC